UCUGAAUUGUGUUCCCCCCAAAAUCCAUACGUUGAAGUUCCAACUCCCAGUACCUUAAAAUAUGACCAUAUUUGGAGAUAGGGCCUCAAAGCAUGAGAUGAAGUUAAAGUGAGGUCAUUGAGGGGUCACCAUAAUUCAUUAUGACUGGUGUCCCUUUAGGAAGAGGAGAUUAGGACACAGACACACACAGAGGGAAGACCAUGGGAAGACACAGAGGGAAGAUGGCCAUGGAAAAGCUAGAGAGAGAGAGUUCUCAGAAGAAGUAACUCUGCCAACACCUUGAUCUCAGAUUUCUAGCCUCCAAAGAGGCAAAGAAAAUGAAGUCAUAAAAUCGGGAACCUGCAUUUGCUUCCAGGAAUUGUCAACAUCCUUUAACCUGAAGAACUGUUUCAAAGGGACGUGUGGAGUUGGCCAGAACUAUCCUUAAGCAGUACUUUAUAUUUAUCCAGAUAAUUAGCUGAAACCUUCAAUUUUCAUGUCAUAGAUUUAAUAGAUAAUUUAGUCUUUAAAAUUCUAAAGCUAGUGUUAGACAUUAGCUAGUUUAAUUGAGAUAGAAAUUAAUUAAGCUGACUAACUUAGGGCUGCCAUAAAAUGUUAGCUAUAAAGAGUUCUGCCCCCACUCCCAGGUUAUUGAAUAAAUUAUCUUACAUAGUCCUUUCUAAGACUGUAGUCAAAAUUAUUAUGUGAAGUUUUAUAAGCAAUAAUACUAGGCUAUUUUUCCGUUAUUCAUUUUCUUGUCAAGCAAUUACUUUUAACUGAUUUUUAAACAAUUUUUAAUCAGUGGACUCCAGAAAAGAAAUGGUUUUAGUUUUCUCCAAUCAUAACCUUUUACCAUGUUGGUGAAUUUCCUUUUUUU
rnacentral:lncRNA from 1 species